UUGGAUUGGGCGUAGCUGACUCACGCAACGCCGCGUGGAGGGAUGAGGCCUUCGGGUUGUAAACCCCUUUUCUCGGGGAAGAAUAAUGACGGUACCUGAGGAAUAAGCCUUGGCUAACUACGUGCCAGCAGCCGCGGUAAUACGUAGAAGGCGAGCGUUAUUCGGAUUUACUGGGCGUAAAGAGGGCGUAGGCGGCCUUUCAAGUCGGAUGUGAAAUCUCUCGGCUUAACCGAGAGGGGUCAUCCGAUACUGCUAGGCUUGAGGACAGCAAGGGGAGGUGGAAUUCCCGGUGUAGUGGUGAUAUGCGUAGAUAUCGGGAGGAACACCAGUGGCGAAGGCGGCCUCCUGGGCUGUUACUGACGCUGAGGCCCGAAAGUGUGGGUAGCGAACAGAAUUAAAUACUCUGGUAGUCCACACCGUAAACGAUGGAUACUAGGUAUAGGGAGUAUCGACCCUCUCUGUAUCGAAGCUAACGCUUUAAGUAUCCCGCCUGGGGACUACGGCCGCAAGGCUAAAACUCAAAAAAAAUUGACGGACAAAACCUCAAAUGAUUUGAGGG
rnacentral:rRNA from 1 species